rnacentral:rRNA from 1 species
GGACAAUGGGCGCAAGCCUGAUCCAGCCAUGCCGCGUGAGUGAUGAAGGCCCUAGGGUUGUAAAGCUCUUUCGCCAGGGACGAUAAUGACGGUACCUGGAUAAGAAGCCCCGGCUAACUUCGUG